rnacentral:lncRNA from 12 species
AUUCCCUUUCCCCUGGCUCAUCCCUGUCCCUGGAGCUGUGCAGUGACCCCAGCUCCAGCUCUCACCCCAGUUCAGGCCAGCUGAGGGUGGCACUGGGCUCACCUGGUGUCCCCUUUGUCCCUUCUCUCUGUUCCCUUUCCAGCUGCUCCUUUGCUUUUGGGCAGCUCUGCAUUUCCUUCCCUAUUUUGCACUUCCCUGCUCCAAUAUCUUCCAUUUCCUUUUCCUUCCCAUCACCUUCUCCUGCUGUUUCAGGUAAAAUUCCUGGAUUUCUCUCCCUGCAGAUGCUCCCCAUUAUCCCUGACACAUCUGCCUUCCUUGCCUGGAUUCCACCUCUGCUCUGGGAUCACCAGAUCGAUCCUUUCCUCACUUUCAGCAUUUCCAGUGAUGUUUUUUUCCCUUUUUUCCCCACCCAAAUCCUGCCCCAGGUGGGGCUGGCAACCAGCUGUAAUUUAGGGAUCAGCAUCAGGCCACUCAUGCUCAAUGACCACGGUGUUUUGGGGGGAGAUAAAUUAAUAAUCACCUAUUUUUUGGGGUGAUCAGAC